AUGGAACGCAUGGCAAGCUCUUAUUUUCAGGAAGUGUUCACCAAAGAUCCGACACUUACACCUAUGGAGGUGCUUGAAGGUAUAACUCCUAAAGUGACACAGGGUAUGAAUGAUUUGUUGUGUGCGCCGUUUUCAGGGGAGGAGGUGUCUAAUGCCCUGUUUCAGAUUGGGCCGAUCAAAGCGUCGGGAACGGAUGGCUUGCCGGCAAGGUUCUUCCAACGCAAUUGGGUUGUGCUGAAGACGGAAAUUGUUGCUGCUGUUUUGGAUUUCUUUAAAAUAGGAAAUAUGCCAGAGGGAGUGAAUGAUACGGCCAUCGUCCUUAUUCCUAAAGUUCCUCACCCUAAGGAACUAAAGGAUUUCAGACCGUAA
rnacentral:rRNA from 1 species